GAUGAAGAACGUAGCGAAAUGCGAUACUUGGUGUGAAUUGCAGAAUCCCGUGAACCAUCGAGUCUUUGAACGCAAGUUGCGCCCGAAGCCAUUAGGCCGAGGGCACGCCUGCCUGGGCGUCACACGUCGUUGCCCCCCCAUCUACUCCUUCGGGAUUGCGGGGGGCGGAUGAUGGCCUCCCGUGCGCCUCGUCGCGCGGUUGGCAUAAAUACCAAGUCCUCGGCGACGCACGCCACGACAAUCGGUGGUUGCGAAACCUCGGUUGCCCGUCGUGUGCGGUCGUCGCGCAUCGAGGGCUCGAAAAAAUUGCCGGGCUCCGGCUCGGCUUUCAACGCGACCCCAGGUCAGGCGGGGUUACCCGCUGAAUUUAAGCAUAUCAAUAGCGGAGGA
rnacentral:misc_RNA from 1 species